GACGAACGCUGGCGGCGUGCUUAACACAUGCAAGUCGAACGGAAAGGCCCUGCUUUUGUGGGGUGCUCGAGUGGCGAACGGGUGAGUAACACGUGAGUAACCUGCCCUUGACUUUGGGAUAACUUCAGGAAACUGGGGCUAAUACCGGAUAGGAGCUCCUGCUGCAUGGUGGGGGUUGGAAAGUUUCGGCGGUUGGGGAUGGACUCGCGGCUUAUCAGCUUGUUGGUGGGGUAGUGGCUUACCAAGGCUUUGACGGGUAGCCGGCCUGAGAGGGUGACCGGCCACAUGAGGACUGAGAGACGGCCCAGACUCCUACGGGAGGCAACAGUGGGGAAUAUUGCACAAUGGGCGGAAGCCUGAUGCAGCAACGCCGCGUGCGGGAUGACGGCCUUCGGGUUGUAAACCGCUUUCGCCUGUGACGAAGCGUGAGUGACGGUAAUGGGUAAAGAAGCACCGGCUAACUACGUG
rnacentral:rRNA from 1 species